rnacentral:lncRNA from 1 species
AUGGGGUCUGACUUAAGUCAAAAGACGGCAGGGCGUCCUUCCCAGGAGGAGCCUGAAGGCAGUGACACAGACCUCAAGGACUCCAGGCUGACCCUUGGCAUCCUCACAGACAGCAGAGAACAAAGACAAGCAUUAGACCUGCCCUCCAUGCACAUUUCCUGCAGACACAGCUCCAGCCGACAGCCAGCAGGAGACAGGGCAGGAAGUGCAGAUGCCUUCCUCCGGAGACCUCAGGGGGCAUGUCUCCAGAGACCGCCUGCCUUAUCCCUCCCUCCUGAAGAAGGCCUUCUGAGCCUGCAGCAGCCUUCUUCCUUUCUCCAGCUAUCCACCUUUCCGUGGGCCUCCCCACCACUGUUGUUGUGGAGUCGCUUCAGUUGUGUCUGA